rnacentral:miRNA from 1 species
UCACUACUCCUGUCCCCCC